rnacentral:rRNA from 1 species
CAGCAGCCGCGGGAAUACGUAGGGUGCGAGCGUUAAUCGGAAUUACUGGGCGUAAAGCGUGCGCAGGCGGUUCGUUAAGACAGAUGUGAAAUCCCCGGGCUUAACCUGGGAACUGCAUUUGUGACUGGCGAGCUAGAGUAUGGCAGAGGGGGGGUAGAAUUCCACGUGUAGCAGUGAAAUGCGUAGAGAUGUGGAGGAAUACCGAUGGCGAAGGCAGCCCACUGGGCCAAUACUGACGCUCAUGCACGAAAGCGUGGGGAGCAAACAGGAUUAGAUACCCCCGUAGUCCCUGUCUCUUAUU